rnacentral:rRNA from 1 species
GAUGAACGCUAGCGGCAGGCUUAGUACAUGCAAGUCGAGGGGCAGCAUGAUUGUAGCAAUACAAUUGAUGGCGACCGGCAAACGGGUGCGGAACACGUACACAACCUCCCAAUAAGUGGGGAAUAGCCCAGAGAAAUUUGGAUUAAUACCCCGUAACAUAACGAUGUGGCAUCACAUUGUUAUUAUAGAUUUUUCGCUUAUUGAUGGGUGUGCGGCUGAUUAGAUAGUUGGCGGGGUAACGGCCCACCAAGUCUACGAUCAGUAGCUGAUGUGAGGGCAUGGUCAGACGCACGGGCGCUGAGACACGGGCCCGACUCCUACGGGAGGCAGCAGUAAGGAAUAUUGGACGAUGGACGCAAGUCUGAUCCAGCCAUGCCGCGUGAAGGAUUAAGGUCCUCUGGAUUGUAAACUUCUUUUAUAAGGGGCGAAAAAAGGCUUUUCUAAGUCGUCUGACGGUACCUUAUGAAUAAGCACCGGCUAACUCCGUGCCAGCCGCCGCCGUAAAAC